rnacentral:tRNA from 1 species
GGUCCCGUGGUGUAGUGGUUAACAUGCCAGCCUGUCACGCAGGAGAUCGCCGGUUCGACCCCGGUCGGGACCGCCA